CAAACCUCAAGCUCUGCUUGGUAUUGGGUGUUUUCGUUAACUCGCCUCUUGGGGAGAGUAACGCGCCUUAAAGACCUCGGCGGCGUAGUUCCGACUUCGAGCGUAGCAAAAAACUUUCGCUUUUGGAGUUCGGGCGACGUUCUGUCCGUAUAAAACCCCCUUUUAUUUCAAA
rnacentral:misc_RNA from 1 species